UGCGUAGGUGGCUUGAAAAGUUUGAUGUGAAAGCUCAGGGCUUAACCCUGAAAUGGCAUUGAAUACUGUCGGGCUGGAGGUUUGGAGGGGGGACUGGAAUUCUUGGUGUAGCAGUGAAAUGCGUAGAUAUCAAGAGGAACACCAGUGGCGAAGGCGAGUCCCUGGACAACACCUGACACUGAGGCACGAAAGCUGGGGAGGCAAACA
rnacentral:rRNA from 1 species